GUCUCUGUAGCACAAUGGAUGGCGAGUUGAAUUUCUAAUCCAAAGUUCGUGGUUUCGAAUACCACCUGGGAUA